CACGUAGGGUGCGAGCGUUGUCCGGAAUUAUUGGGCGUAAAGAGCUCGUAGGCGGUGUGUCGCGUCGGCCGUGAAAACCUGCAGCUUAACUGUGGGCUUGCGGUCGAUACGGGCAUCACUGGAGUUCGGCAGGGGAGACUGGAAUUCCUGGUGUAGCGGUGAAAUGUGUAGAGAUCGGGAGGAACACCGGUGGCGAAGGCGGGUCUCUGGGCAAUUCCUGACGCUGAGGCGCGAAAGCGUGGGGAGCAAACGGG
rnacentral:rRNA from 1 species